AUUGAACGCUGGCGGCAUGCCUUACACAUGCAAGUCGAACGGUAACAGGUCUUCGGAUGCUGACGAGUGGCGAACGGGUGAGUAAUACAUCGGAACGUGCCUAGUAGUGGGGGAUAACUACUCGAAAGAGUGGCUAAUACCGCAUGAGAUCUACGGAUGAAAGCAGGGGAUCGCAAGACCUUGUGCUACUAGAGCGGCCGAUGGCAGAUUAGGUAGUUGGUGGGAUAAAGGCUUACCAAGCCGACGAUCUGUAGCUGGUCUGAGAGGACGAUCAGCGACACUGGGACUGGGACACGGCCCAGAAUCCGACGGGAGGCAGCAGUGGGGAAUUUGGGACAAUGGGCGCAAGCCUGAUCCAGCAAUGCCGCGUGCAGGAUGAAGGCCUUCGGGUUGUAAACUGCUUUUGUACGGAACGAAAAGCCCUGGGUUAAUACCCUGGGGUCAUGACGGUACCGUAAGAAUAAGCACCGGCUAACUACGUGCCAGCCGCCGCCGUAAUAC
rnacentral:rRNA from 1 species